CACACCUUGGAGAUCUCUCAGGAGCAACAUUUGCCACUUAAGCAAUGGAAUGUGAACAAUGUGAACCCAGCCUUACAUUAGGACCGGUGACGUCCCUUGAAAACUCUAGCUAACAGGGAAGAGGUCAUGUGACUGCUGCAUGCAUCCUGAUUGGUCAGUUGGAUCCUUGUAACGGUUGUUGUUGACACGAACCAACUGCCAUGAUGUCUGGAGCUGUAACCUCUAUGGCAGCAUUUUGUGGUUUCCAAGGAGCGAUUUUCAUUGGAUUUUCAGUGGAUUUUUCCUCCCACGGGCGCCUGAUGGACGGCACAGAUCUCCUGCACUACCCAGAUCAUCUAUUAAGCAUCUGCAUUGGACACAGAAGAUGGAGCGCCCUCCGCUUUAGAACCAUGAUGGCUCCUUGAUGUUGGCAUCAGCACUGGUGGUGCAGUAUCAUCUAUACACUUGUGGUGGCCCGGUACAGAAGGUGCCGUUCUGUACCCCUGCCAGUCCUAUCGGGCAGACUCAAUGUCCCCAGGCCCCACACUCCUCAGAACUCUCUCUACCAUAUUAAGUUAUGUAUGGGUUAAUGCAAUGUUAUGUAAUGUAUUAAUAUGUUAUUGUGCCUUUAAAACACUGUUGCUAAGGACUAUGUUACCAAGGAAGGUGUAAGGUAAACUUGUGACUUAUUUAGCGAAUGGGAUCUCUCCAAAUUGCUCCCUAAUAUACCAGGGAGGAGCUAGAGUUCUAGGGAGUACAUGCUGAGGUACAGCUUGUAUAAGGACCUAAGAAGUUUGCCUGGUGUUCCUGGUGAGGGAGGACCAAGGCCUAGUUACGCAGCCCCGCAUCUACUUCAAGUUAACCCCUGCAGGUGAAAGUCAAAGCCUGGCAGAAAGCACAAAUACAGGGGAAAAGUAUAGUCAAGAUAGUCAAGUGUCAUUUCCCAAAGUCAGCGUGGGUUGCAUCAGUCAAUCCAAGUCCACUACAACUCCCAGCAAGCCAAUAAGCUUCCUAAAGUUCAUCGUGCAUCUCCUUGGGCCUAAUCUGAGCUGUAAAGACUUUAGCACCUUGUCUGCCUCAGUAAAAAGCCGCUGUUCAAGAGCAGUGAGGGUCCUGGACACAAGAGCUUACAAUCUAUAACAGAAUAUAUAUUAAAUGUAUUUUAUUUACAUACAAAUGUGCUUGAAUUAUGCAAUGGUCCAGUCGUGUUUUAUAUAAAUGGAGUGAGGGGGAUAGAGUUGUUUUUAACAUGUACUCUAUGGAACUGAACUUAUCAGAUCAGUUGUUUUUACUUAGGAUAUAAUAUAUUCCGCUGGUGGGCUCUAGACACCCCAAUCCAACACUGUGUGUCCUUAAAGGGGUACUCCAGGGAACUUAUCGGAUAGCUAUCCUCUAUUCACAGAAUAGGGGAUAAGUGUCUGAUCACGGGGGUGGGGGAAAGGGUCAGCCUGCUGGGACCCUUGCAAUCUCCUGUAGGGGGUCCUGGCUACUUAACCGUCCUCGGCAUGCUCUGGCCCCUACCUUCCUGGACGAGCUCAAGUGAUGGCCCGAUCAGCCAAUCAACAGUUGAGGCAGGACAUUGCUGCAGUCGGUGAUUGGCUGAACAGGCCAUCAUGUGCCCUGGGUCAAGAACAGUGGGGCCAGAGGACGCCAAGCAUGAGUAAGUAGCCCAGUACAGGAGAUUGCGGAGGGACCCAGUGAUCAGACUCCCGUGAUCAGACACGUAUGCCCUAUUGUGGAAUAUGUUCUGGGGGGCCUUCCUAAGUCAAAAAAACUAACUUGCAAAAGGGAAGGGAUAUAGAAUGUCAUUUCAGCUAAUUAUGAAUGGUAUUCGCAUCUAUUAUGUCCUAGUUUUACACAAACUACAAAACUUGUCUAGAGGAGGAAUGGUGCAGUUACCUCUAGCAGCCAAUCAGAUUGCUUCUUUAAUUUUUAAAUAAGCUGCAAAAAAUUUUUAAUAGGCAAUCUGAUUGGUUGCUAUGGGCAACUGCACUAUUUCUUCUCUACACCAGGAAGAUCGGAGCUGAGGCCCAAUACAUCACACUGCCGCUCAGCCUAACACUGUCCAAGUCGGACAUCGCUACUGUUGGCAAUUAGCUGCAGUGUAACAAAUCAACCACAUUGAAGGUGGGAGCAGGAUACUGAAGGCACCUAGUGAGCGGAGGGAGGUAAGUUCAGUUUGCUUUUUAAAAUGCUGCUGUGGUAACAUUUACUGCAAGAUGGCCAAGUUUACUGCAAGACUGGUUGCGCUCUGCUACAGUAAUAUAGCAGAGGCAUUUGCACUCUCCUACGUUAAUCCUAUACAAUGGGACCCAGGAAAAUUGCUGCCCUUUUGGUGUCCUGGUACAGGACCUUUUCCUGUCCCUGUCUUAAGUCCCCUUCGUUAGAGUACCUCCAUUCCACAGGGCUCUUCUGCAGGGUUUACCCUUUGCUCGCCUCGCAUAAUGUAUUAGAGAUGUAAUGUAUAUUGGUCAAUAUGUAUACAAGUAUGUACAAAGUUGUAUAGUAUAAUGUAUAGGACCUUCCGGGGUCAUGUGGUAUUGUCAUAUGAUGUACCCAGAGUUCUCUGGGUUCAGGACCUCCAGGCUUGGCAACCAAUGGGAUUAGUCCCGCCCCCUCAUAUAUAAUGGGCUGUAGUCUGUAAAUUUGCUCUCUUGUUCCUGCACUCUCUUAUUUCCCGGAUCCAAAGCAAGCACAAUCAGCAUUUCUCAAUUCAUCUCAACUAGGCCAAAGCCUAAAGAACCAGCAGCCACUAAAACUGUGAGUUAUAAAGCUCUUUCUCUUGAGAAAGGAAUCAUCCGAAACACGUGUCGAGGUUGCAGGAUCAUCACUGGGAAGCCGUCAGCAUGUCACAAUUAGGUACAGUUUUUUAUUUGAGAUAUUGUUCUCCUAUGUGCUGACUAAACUAAUACUGUAAGACUGUAUAUUGGUAAUACCGUGAUUUCUGUAGAUAUCCCAGUGAUAUCCUGCUUAGCUUUUUGUGUGUUUUUUUUUUUAAGGGUGGGUCAUUUUAUGGGUGUUUUUUCUACCUGUUUUGUAUACAUUAAUAAAGAUGAAACUUUGAUUAUAUCUUCGGGCUAAUUUUGUAGGUUUUUAUUUGUAAAGACUGUCAGCACAAGAAUUUAAGUAAAAGUUUCAGUUAUCUCAUAAAUCCUGCUGUGGACAUUCCAUUUUUUCCUUGACGUUUUUGGGCCGGUUGGCGGCCGGGCCUUCUAUACCAAGCAAACCUCACCCUGGCGUCACGACAAACCAAGAGUUAACACCACCAGACCCUGUAACACCAUUGCAACAUGCCAGACACCACACCCUGAAUACAUUUUUGACCCCUUUGCGACCCAUGACUGACCUAGUCCGUCAUGGUGCCGCUCAUGGUGUAUGAAGCGAGCUCCUAACUUGAGCCUGCUCCAUAUGCGGUGGCCCCCAGCUGAUUCCUGAAGGCUGCUGUUAAUAGCUGGCAUGCAGCGAGCGUGUCACAAUCCCUUCCUGAAGCGGAGGAU